UACAGAGGUCCCAAGCGUUGUUCGGAUUUACUGGGCGUAAAGGGAGCGUAGGUGGCAUUCUAAGUCUGAUGUGAAAGCUCUGAGCUUAACUCAGAAAUGGCAUUAGAAACUAGUUUGCUUGAGGAUUGGAGGGGAGAUUGGAAUUCUUGGUGUAGCAGUGAAAUGCGUAGAUAUCAAGAGGAACACCAGUGGCGAAAGCGAAUCUCUGGACAAUUCCUGACACUGAUGCUCGAAAGCUAGGGGAGCAAACGGG
rnacentral:rRNA from 1 species